rnacentral:rRNA from 1 species
UACGUAGGGUCCGAGCGUUGUCCGGAAUUAUUGGGCGUAAAGAGCUCGUAGGUGGCGUGUCGCGUCUACCGUGAAAGCCCAUGGCUUAACUGUGGGUCUGCGGUGGAUACGGGCAGGCUGGAGGCUGGUAGGGGCAAGCGGAAUUCCUGGUGUAGCGGUGAAAUGCGCAGAUAUCAGGAGGAACACCUAUGGCGAAGGCAGCUCGCUGGGACGUUACUGACGCUGAGACGCGAAAGCGUGGGGAGCAAACAGG